UACGUAGGAGGCAAGCGUUGUCCGGAAUUACUGGGCGUAAAGCGCGUGUAGGUGGUGGGACAAGUCUGCUGUGAAAGCGCCUGGCUUAACCGGGCGAGGUCGGCGGAAACUGUCGCACUCGAGGACGGUAGAGGGGGGUGGAAUUCCCGGUGUAGUGGUGAAAUGCGUAGAGAUCGGGAGGAACACCUGUGGCGAAGGCGGCCCCCUGGGCCGGUCCUGACACUGAGACGCGAAGGCGUGGGGAGCGAACGGG
rnacentral:rRNA from 1 species